UACUUUUUCUCUUGCUGCUUUUAGGAUCCUUUCUUUAUCCUUGACCUUUGGGAGUUUGAUUAUUAAAUGUCUUGAAGUAGUCUUCUUUGGGUUAAAUAUGCUUGGUGUUCUAUAACCUACCUGUACUUGGAUAUUGAUAUAUCUUCCUCUAGGUUUGGGAAAUUCUCUGAUAUAAUCCCUUUGAAUAAACUCUCUACCUCCAGUUUCUUUCUCUACGUCGUCUCUAAGCCCAAUAACUCUUAGAUUUGUCCCUUGAAGCUAUAUUCUAGAUCUUGUAGGUAUGUAUCACUCAUUUUAUUCUUUUUUUCGUCUCCUCUGACUGUGAAUUUUCAAAUAGCCUGUCUUCAAGUUCACUAAUUCCUUCUUCUGCUUGAUCAGUUCUGCUAUUAAAAGACUCUGAUGCAUUCUUCUGUAUGCCAAUUGCAUUUUUCAGCUCCAGAAUUUUUGCUUCUUUUGGAUUAUUUCAAUGUCUUUGUUAAAUUUAUCUGAUAGAAUUCUAAACUCCUUCUCUGUGUUAUCUUGAAUUUCUUUGAGUUUCCUCAAAACAGCUAUUUUGAAUUCUUUCUGAAAGGUCACACAUCUGUGUUUCUCCAGGAUUGGUUCCUGGUACCUUUAGUUCAUUUGAUGAGGUCAUGUUUUCCUGAAUGGUGUUGAUGCUUGUAGAUGUUCGUCAGUGUCUGGGCAUUGAAGAGUUAGGUAUUUGUUGUAGUCUUCUCAGCCUGGGCUUGUUUGUACCUGUCUAUUGGGGAACCUGCCCCAAUAAUCACGUAGGUUCUUUUCUAUUUUCCUAAGCGUCGGCUGGCUUGAGAAAUAAAGGGACAGAGUACAAAAGAGAGAAAUUUUAAAGCUGGGCGUCUGGGGGAGAUAUCACACGUUGGUAGGAUCCGUGAUGCCCCACAAGCCACAAAAACCAGCAAGUUUUUAUUAGGGAUUUUCAAACGGGGAGGGAGUGUGCGAAUAGAUGUGGGUGACAGACAUCAAGUACUUAACAGGGUAAUAGACUAUCACAAGGCAAGUGGAGGCAGGGCGAGAUCACAGGACCACAGGACUGAGGCGAAAUUAAAAUUGCUAAUGAAGUUUUGGGCACCAUUGUCAUUGAUAACAUCUUAUCAGGAGACAGGGUUUUGAGAUCAACUGGUCUGACCAAAAUUUAUUAGGUGGGAAUUUCCUCUUCCUAAUAAGCCUGGGAGCGCUAUGGGAGACUGGAGUUUAUUUCACCCCUGCAGUCUCAACCAUAAGAGACAGGUACGCCCCGGGGGGGCCAGUUCAGAGACCUACCCCUAGGUGCACAUCCUCUUUCUCAGGGACGUUCCAUGCUGAGAAAAAGAAUUCAGCGAUAUUUCUCCCAUUUGCUUUUGAAAGAAGAGAAAUAUGGCUCUGUUCUGCCCUGCUCACUGGCGGUCAGAGUUUAAGGUUAUCUCUCUUAUUCCCUGAACAAUUGCUGUUAUCCUGUUCUUUUUUCAAGGUGCUCUGAUUUCAUAUUGUACAAACACACAUGCUGUACAAUCUGUGCAGUUAAUGCAAUUAUCACAGGGUCCUGAGGCGACAUACAUCCUUCUUGGCUGACAGGAUUAAGAGAUUAAAGCAAAGACAGGCAUAGGAAAGCACAAGGGUAUUGAUUGGGGAAGUGAUAAGUGUCCAUGAAAUCUUUACAAUUUAUGUUUAGAGAUUGCAGUAAAGACAGGCAUAAGAAAUUACAAAACUAUUAA
rnacentral:lncRNA from 10 species